GACGAACGCUGGCGGCGUGCUUAACACAUGCAAGUCGAACGGAAAGGCCCUGCUUUUGUGGGGUGCUCGAGUGGCGAACGGGUGAGUAACACGUGAGUAACCUGCCCUUGACUUUGGGAUAACUUCAGGAAACUGGGGCUAAUACCGGAUAGGAGCUCCUGCUGCAUGGUGGGGGUUGGAAAGUUUCGGCGGUUGGGGAUGGACUCGCGGCUUAUCAGCUUGUUGGUGGGGUAGUGGCUUACCAAGGCUUUGACGGGUAGCCGGCCUGAGAGGGUGACCGGCCACAUUGGGACUGAGAUACGGCCCAGACUCCUACGGGAGGCAGCAGUGGGGAAUACUGCACAAUGGGCGGAAGCCUGAUGCAGCAACGCCGCGUGCGGGAUGACGGCCUUCGGGUUGUAAACCGCUUUCGCCUGUGACGAAGCGUGAGUGACGGUAAUGGGUAAAGAAGCACCGGCUAACUACGUGCCAGCAGCCGCGGUGAUACGUAGGGUGCGAGCGUUGUCCGGAUUUAUUGGGCGUAAAGGGCUCGUAGGUGGUUGAUCGCGUCGGAAGUGUAAUCUUGGGGCUUAACCCUGAGCGUGCUUUCGAUACGGGUUGACUUGAGGAAGGUAGGGGAGAAUGGAAUUCCUGGUGGAGCGGUGGAAUGCGCAGAUAUCAGGAGGAACACCAGUGGCGAAGGCGGUUCUCUGGGCCUUUCCUGACGCUGAGGAGCGAAAGCGUGGGGAGCGAACAGGCUUAGAUACCCUGGUAGUCCACGCUGUAAACGGUGGGUACUAGGUGUGGGGUCCAUUCCACGGGUUCCGUGCCGUAGCUAACGCUUUAAGUACCCCGCCUGGGGAGUACGGCCGCAAGGCUAAAACUCAAAGGAAUUGACGGGGCCCCGCACAAGCGGCGGAGCAUGCGGAUUAAUUCGAUGCAACGCGUAGAACCUUACCUGGGUUUGACAUGGAUCGGGAGCGCUCAGAGAUGGGUGUGCCUCUUUUGGGGUCGGUUCACAGGUGGUGCAUGGCUGUCGUCAGCUCGUGUCGUGAGAUGUUGGGUUAAGUCCCGCAACGAGCGCAACCCUUGUUCACUGUUGCCAGCACGUUAUGGUGGGGACUCAGUGGAGACCGCCGGGGUCAACUCGGAGGAAGGUGGGGAUGACGUCAAGUCAUCAUGCCCCUUAUGUCCAGGGCUUCACGCAUGCUACAAUGGCUGGUACAGAGAGUGGCGAGCCUGUGAGGAUGAGCGAAUCUCGGAAAGCCGGUCUCAGUUCGGAUUGGGGUCUGCAACUCGACCUCAUGAAGUCGGAGUCGCUAGUAAUCGCAGAUCAGCAACGCUGCGGUGAAUACGUUCCCGGGGCU
rnacentral:rRNA from 1 species